AAACUGGGAUUAGAUACCCCAGUAUGCUCAGUCGUAAACCUUUAACUACACCCUCUCUCGCCCGGGAACUACGAGCCAAGCUUAAAACCCAAAGGACUUGACGGUACCCCACAUCCACCUAGAGGAGCCUGUCCUAUAAUCGAUAACCCACGUUUAACCUCACCAUUUUUAGCUUACUCAGCCUGUAUACCUCCGUCGUCAGCUUACCACGUGAGCGUUAGUGAGCUUAAUGUUAUUCAACCACACGUCAGGUCAAGGUGCAACUUAUAAAAUGGGAAGAGAUGGGCUACACUUUCUAACUUAGAACACACGAAAGAUUACUAAUGAAAAUUUAUCAGAAGGCGGAUUUAGCAGUAAACAGAAAUCAAAAAGUUCCGUUUAAUUUGGCACUGGGGUGUGUACACACCGCCCGUCACCCUCAUUCAAAUCA
rnacentral:rRNA from 1 species